rnacentral:rRNA from 1 species
AACUAACGCUGGCGGCGUGCCUAACACAUGCAAGUCGUACGAGAAAGUCGGCUUCGGCUGAUGAGUAAAGUGGCGCACGGGUGAGUAACGCGUGGAUAAUCUGCCCUUGAGUGUGGAAUAACGUACCGAAAGGUGCGCUAAUACCGCAUAAUGCCUGGCAACACAAGUUGUCCGGCCAAAGAAGGCCUCUGUUUACAAGCUUUUGCUCAAGGAUGAGUCCGCGUACCAUUAGCUAGUUGGUGGGGUAACGGCCUACCAAGGCUACGAUGGUUAGCUGGUCUGAGAGGAUGAUCAGCCACACUGGAACUGAGACACGGUCCAGACUCCUACGGGAGGCAGCAGUGAGGAAUUUUGCGCAAUGGGCGCAAGCCUGACCGAGCAACGCCGCGUGAGUGAUGAAGGUUUUCGGAUUGUAAAGCUCUGUCUUCCGGGACGAUAAUGACGGUACCGGAGGAGGAAGCCACGGCUAACUACGUGCCAGCAGCCGAC